UACGGAGGAUGCGAGCGUUAUCCGGAUUUAUUGGGUUUAAAGGGUGCGUAGGCGGCAUUAUAAGUUAGUGGUAAAAUAUUGGGGCUUCACCUCACUACGCCAUUAAUACUGUAGAGCUAGAGAACAGACGAGGUAGGCGGAAUAAGUUAAGUAGCGGUGAAAUGCAUAGAUAUAACUUAGAACACCAGUGGCGAAGGCGGCCGCCUGGCCUGUUACUGACGCUGAGGCACGAAAGCGUGGGGAGCAAACAGG
rnacentral:rRNA from 1 species